GAGAAAGAAAGGGUCAGACAUCCUGCCGAAGAAGAGAAGGACACCGAGAAUGAAGUAAGAAAGAGAAGAGGAAUUUGAACAGGGGUUGGUCUUGGGAUGGACGAGGCUGACGAUUGGUUAGUCAUCACUGUGCUUGUUUAACAGUUUACAAAAAAGAAAGAAAAAGGGUUUGUUUAAAAGAAAGACUGCUGCAGUGUGCUGCUAGUGAAAACGGGUGCCUGGAACUGAACGAAGAAUGACACUGGUCUGCUUUCACUAUCAGCCAUAGAGGAUUGGAGUGUGCUGAAGCAUAAAUAAGAAAAGGCCUCGCCAAGCACUGCUGCCAACCUCAUUGUAUUACAGAUAAGCCCUCUUUGUGGUUUUGUGGUGUCAAGAAAAACCAACACAUUCUAUUAUCUCCAACCAGCAUCAAGCUUUUCUCUGUCAUCUCCCUCCAACACCCCCCUUCUCUUUUUCUCUCUGCACUAUUGAAACAACCCUUCUAUGCAAAUUAUACCAGUUGUGCCCCCCCUCUCUUUUUUUCCCCACCCUCUUGCAUUAUUCUCUCCCUUUCAGCUUUCAUCUGGGGCUUCACUUUUUUUGGAGAAUGCAGCCGAGGCCAAACCGGACCCCAUUUAUCAUGUCAUCACGUGUGUGUUCCAAAUGCCGCUUUAUUUUUAGUCCGUUUGUGAGAUGCUGCCAAUGUGCUCAGCUCAUUUCCAAGUAGGGUUUCUCAAAAGAGUUUGCAAGCAACGUUUACUUCCAAAACACUCUCACCAAAACCUGAGGCUUGCAAUCUGGUAAUGCCACAAGAGCUAAAUGGACCCGUUGUUACAAUUUUAAAUCUAACUAAUGGUUCAGACGUUUCAAAUUUACUUUCAAAGUGUUGCAUGGACAAUGAGGCAAUGCCUCUAUAUAGCCUGACUUACAUGUUUGAGUAGUCACAGUUUAUAUUAUCGUACAGAUCUGAAACGUUAAUCUAGGUCAGUGGUGGUCAGGUGCAUCUCUGAGGCCUACUUAUGUUUUCUGAAAACGCUUAGACUCGUUGGAAAAACUCUUUAGAUAGUGAAAUGGCCAUGAACAGUUUGUAGAAGCCACACAAUGUCCAAGGACCAUUCAACCUUUAUAGCAAUUGGUCAGUAAUGACGUAUGGAGGAAACUUUGGGGUGGGGGUUAAUGGAAACUCUGGCUUUUCCAUUGGGUUGAGAAGCCAUCAUAUAUGUUUCCUCCUAGCAGAACAUGCAGACACCUCAAGAUAAUUAUGUUAAAAAAAUGUAUAUGAUAGAA